rnacentral:rRNA from 1 species
GUCCUUAAUUAAUUAUUUAAGGUCCGACCUGCUCAAUGCGUAAGUUAAUUGCUGCAGUAACUUGACUGUACUAAGGUAGCAUAAUAAUUAGUUUUUUAAUUGAAAACUGGAAUGAAAGGUUAGACGGAAUUAAAACUGUCUUUUUUAUAGUUUAAUAAAUUAAUAAGUUGGUGAAAAAUCCCACUUGAUUAGGAGGGACGAGAAGACCCUUUAGAUCUUUAUUUAUAUUUUUCUUGAGAAGAUGAGUAUAAAUUUAUCUGGGACGGAUCUAAUAAUUUUUAUCUAUAGAUAAUAAAAAAAUCAUUAAUUAAAUUAAUGAUCCCUUAGAAUGGAUAUGUAGAAAAAGUUACCUAAGGGAUAACAGCAUAAUUCCCCCACAGAGAUCUUAUUUGUGGGGGAGAUUAUGACCUCGAUGUUGAAUUAAGUUAACUAUUGAAA